GAGGCUCGUCGGGCGGUCGCUGUCGCAGCAAUGCGAGAGAGGAAAGUCCGAACACCAAAGGGCAGCGAGCCGGAUAACAUCCGGGCUUCCGUUUAUUCGGAAGACGACAAGUGCAACAGAGAGUAAACCAGCCUCGAUUCGUCGAGGCGAUGGGUGAAAGGGUGAGGUAAGAGCUCACCAGCGUCUGCCGGUAACGGCGGCGGCUAGGUAAACUCCUCGUGGUGCAAGAUCAAAUAGGGAACCGCUAAUCCAUCGUACGGCCCGUACGAAGUCCUGAUGGGCGGCAGGUUCCGGGUAGAUCGCUUGAUCUCGACAGUAAUGUCGAGGCUAGAUGAAUGAUCGCCAUCUCGAUUCGUCGGGAUACAAGAUUCGGCUUACAGACGAGCCUCAUAG
rnacentral:RNase_P_RNA from 1 species